rnacentral:rRNA from 1 species
AGUGAACGCCGGCGGUAGGCCUAACACAUGCAAGUCGAACGGCAGCACAGUAAGAGCUUGCUCUUACGGGUGGCGAGUGGCGGACGGGUGAGGAAUACAUCGGAAUCUACUUUUUCGUGGGGGAUAACGUAGGGAAACUGACGCUAAUACCGCAUACGACCUACGGGUGAAAGCAGGGGAUCUUCGGACCUUGCGCGAUUGAAUGAGCCGAUGUCGGAUUAGCUAGUUGGCGGGGUAAAGGCCCACCAAGGCGACGAUCCGUAGCUGGUCUGAGAGGAUGAUCAGCCACACUGGAACUGAGACACGGUCCAGACUCCUACGGGAGGCAGCAGUGGGGAAUCUUGGACAAUGGGCGCAAGCCUGAUCCAGCCAUACCGCGUGGGUGAAGAAGGCCUUCGGGUUGUAAAGCCCUCUUGUUGGGAAAGAAAAGCAGCAGGUUAAAACCCCGCUGUUCUGACGGUACCCAAAGAAUAAGCACCGGCUAACUUCGUG